rnacentral:ncRNA from 1 species
CAUAGGCAGUGGCUUGGUUAAGGGAACGGAACCCACUGGAGGCGUAGUGAAAGCGAGUCUUAAUAGGGCGAUUGUCACUACUUAUGGACCCAAACCUGGGUGAUCUAUCCAUGACCAGGAUGAAGUUUGGAUGAAACUAAGCAGAGGUCCGAACCGACUGAUGUUGAAGAAUCAGCGGAUGAGUUGUGGUUAGGGGUGAAAUGCCAAUCGAACCCAGAGCUAGUUGG